rnacentral:rRNA from 1 species
AUUGAACGCUGGCGGCAUGCCUUACACAUGCAAGUCGAACGGCAGCACGGGAGCAAUCCUGGUGGCGAGUGGCGAACGGGUGAGUAAUAUAUCGGAACGUGCCCAGUCGUGGGGGAUGACGUAGCGAAAGCUACGCUAAUACCGCAUACGAUCUAUGGAUGAAAGCGGGGGAUCGCAAGGCCUCGCGCGAUUGGAGCGGCCGAUAUCAGAUUAGGUAGUUGGUGGGGUAAAGGCUCACCAAGCCGACGAUCUGUAGCUGGUCUGAGAGGACGACCAGCCACACUGGGACUGAGACACGGCCCAGACUCCUACGGGAGGCAGCAGUGGGGAAUUUUGGACAAUGGGCGCAAGCCUGAUCCAGCAAUGCCGCGUGCAGGAUGAAGGCCUUCGGGUUGUAAACUGCUUUUGUACGGAGCGAAAAGGCUCUCUCUAAUACAGGGGGCUCAUGACGGUACCGUAAGAAUAAGCACCGGCUAACUACGUGCCAGCCGCCGCAGUAACAC